AUGACUGUCAACUGGGGCAGCAAGUACAUGGUUUUCCAACAUCAAGGCCAGUUUAUUCAGUUGCACGGAGUUUCAGCCUUAGUUCAGGAAUGUCCACCGAUUUCAACUGUUGAGUUGCAGCUUCUGCAUGCUCAGGAAUCAAUGCUGCGAGUGGUGCAGUUGUGUUUAGUUAAAGAUGAUGCUGAGACUACCAAAAUUCCAAAGGCGGUGACAGCUUUAUUGGAGGAAUUUGCAGAACUGUUUCAAGAGCCUCGAGGAUUGCCACCCCAACGGUCCUUCGAUCAUACAAUCGAUUUGCUGCCUGGGGCGACACCGGUCAACAUCAGACCCUAUCGAUACAACCCGACGCAGAAGGAUGAGAUCGAAGCGCAAGUGGUUGACAUGUUGAAACAAGGGAUCAUUCAAGUCAGCCGUAGCCCCUUCGCAUCCCCUGUGCUCUUGGUACAGAAAAAAGAUGGGGAGUGGCGUUUCUGUAUCGAUUUCCACCAUCUUAAUGCUAUCACUAUAAAGAAUAGGUACCCCCUACCCGUGAUUGAUGAGCUUUUGGAUGAAUCGCAAGGAGCCAAGUGGUUCACAAGUCUGGAUUUGCGCUCGGGCUAUCAUUAG
rnacentral:rRNA from 1 species